AGAGUUUGAUCCUGGCUCAGGACGAACGCUGGCGGCGUGCUUAACACAUGCAAGUCGAGCGGUGAACCCUUCGGGGGGAUCAGCGGCGAACGGGUGAGUAACACGUGAGCAACCUGCCCCUGACUCUGGGAUAGCCUCGGGAAACCGGGAUUAAUACCGGAUAUGACACCUCCUCGCAUGGGGUGGUGUGGAAAGUUUUUCGGUCAGGGAUGGGCUCGCGGCCUAUCAGCUUGUUGGUGGGGUGAUGGCCUACCAAGGCGACGACGGGUAGCCGGCCUGAGAGGGUGACCGGCCACACUGGGACUGAGACACGGCCCAGACUCCUACGGGAGGCAGCAGUGGGGAAUAUUGCGCAAUGGGCGAAAGCCUGACGCAGCGACGCCGCGUGAGGGAUGAAGGCCUUCGGGUUGUAAACCUCUUUCAGCAGGGAAGAAGCGCAAGUGACGGUACCUGCAGAAGAAGCACCGGCUAACUACGUG
rnacentral:rRNA from 1 species